CAGUCGCCGCGGGAAUACAGAGGGUGCAAGCGUUAAUCGGAAUUACUGGGCGUAAAGCGCGCGUAGGUGGUUUGUUAAGUCGGAUGUGAAAUCCCUGAGCUUAACUUAGGAAUUGCAUUCGAUACUGGGAAGCUAGAGUAUGGGAGAGGAUGGUAGAAUUCCAGGUGUAGCGGUGAAAUGCGUAGAGAUCUGGAGGAAUACCGAUGGCGAAGGCAGCCAUCUGGCCUAAUACUGACGCUGAGGUACGAAAGCAUGGGGAGCAAACAGGAUUAGAUACCCCCGUAGUCCCUGUCUCUUAUAA
rnacentral:rRNA from 1 species